UGAACGCUGGCGGCGUGCCUAAUACAUGCAAGUCGAGCGAACAGAUGAGGAGCUUGCUCCUCUGACGUUAGCGGCGGACGGGUGAGUAACACGUGGAUAACCUACCUAUAAGACUGGGAUAACUUCGGGAAACCGGAGCUAAUACCGGAUAAUAUAUUGAACCGCAUGGUUCAAUAGCGAAAGACGGUUUUGCUGUCACUUAUAGAUGGAUCCGCGCCGCAUUAGCUAGUUGGUAAGGUAACGGCUUACCAAGGCAACGAUGCGUAGCCGACCUGAGAGGGUGAUCGGCCACACUGGAACUGAGACACGGUCCAGACUCCUACGGGAGGCAGCAGUAGGGAAUCUUCCGCAAUGGGCGAAAGCCUGACGGAGCAACGCCGCGUGAGUGAUGAAGGUCUUCGGAUCGUAAAACUCUGUUAUUAGGGAAGAACAAAUGUGUAAGUAACUAUGCACGUCUUGACGGUACCUAAUCAGAAAGCCACGGCUAACUACGUG
rnacentral:rRNA from 1 species